rnacentral:tRNA from 2 species
GGAAGGGUGGCCGAGCGGCCGAAGGCAGCGGUCUUGAAAACCGCAGGGUGAUGAGCCCCGUGGGUUCAAAUCCCACCCCUUCCGCCA